rnacentral:rRNA from 1 species
AUUGAACGCUGGCGGCAGGCCUAACACAUGCAAGUCGAGCGAGCGGCGGACGGGUGAGUAAUGUAUGGGGACUGCCCGAUAGAGGGGGAUAACUACUGGAAACGGUAGCUAAUACCGCAUACUAUCAGAUACCCCAUAUGGGAUUAGCUAGUAGGUGGGGUAAUGGCUCACCUAGGCGACGAUCCCUAGCUGGUCUGAGAGGAUGACCAGCCACACUGGAACUGAGACACGUCCCAGACUCCUACGGAGGCAGCAGUGGGGAAUAUUGCACAAUGGGCGCAAGCCUGAUGCAGCCAUGCCGCGUGUAUGAAGAAGGCCUUAGGGUUGUAAAGUACUUUCAGUGGGGAGGCGUUACCGACAGAAGAAGCACCGGCUAACUACGUGCCAGCAGCCGCGGUAAUUC